CCUACGGGUGGCAGCAGUGAGGAAUCUUCGUCAAUGGACGCGAGUCUGAACCAGCCAAGCAGCGUGAAGGAUGACUGUCCUCUGGUCGGUAAACUCUGUUUAUAUGGGAGUAAAAGGUCUCACGUGAGUGUUUUCGUCUGUACCAUAUGAAUAAGGAUCGGCUCACCUCGCGCCAGCAGCCGCGGUAAUACGGAGGAUCCGAGGGUUACCCGGAUUUAUUGGGUUUAAAGGGAGCGUAGGUGGAUUGUUAAGUCAGUUGUGAAAGUUUGCGGCUCAACCGUAAAAGUGCAGUUGAAACUGGCAGUCUUGAGUACAGUAGAGGAGGGCGGAAUUCGAGGUGUAGCGGUGAAAUGCUUAGAUAUCACGAAGAACUCCGAUUGCGAAGGCAGCUCACUGGACUGCAACUGACACUGAGGCUCGAAAGUGUGGGUAUCAAACAGGAUUAGAUACCCGAGUAGUC
rnacentral:rRNA from 1 species